rnacentral:rRNA from 1 species
UACAUGGGGUGCAAACGUUGCUCGGAAUUAUUGGGCGUAAAGCGCACGUAGGCGGUUCGUUAAGUCGGAUGUGAAAGCCCUCGGCUCAACUGAGGAAGUGCACCCGAAACUGGCGAGCUUGAGUACGAAAGAAGGAUCGCGGAAUUUCCCGGUGUAGAGGUGAAAUUUCGUAGAUAUCGGGAGGAACACCCGGGUGGCGAAAGGGCGGGCGAUCUGGGUCGAUACUGACGCUGAGGUGCGAAAAGCGUGGGGAGCAAA